AGUGAACGCUGGCGGCAGGCCUAACACAUGCAAGUCGAGCGGCAGCGGGUCCCCGCGAGGGGAUGCCGGCGAGCGGCGGACGGGUGAGGAACACAUCGGAAUCUGCCUGGUUGUGGGGGGAUAACGUAGGGAAACUUACGCUAAUACCGCAUGCGACCCUGAGUCGACGGACUGGGGGUGAAAGUGAGGGACCUUCGGGCCUCACGCGACCAGAUGAGCCGAUGUCGGAUUAGCUAGUUGGCGGGGUAACGGCCCGCCAAGGCGACGAUCCGUAGCUGGUCUGAGAGGAUGAUCAGCCACAC
rnacentral:rRNA from 1 species